rfam:Camelus ferus unplaced genomic scaffold scaffold526, whole genome shotgun sequence.
GAGGGUAUAGCUCAGUGAUAGAGCGCAUGCUUAGCAUGCACAAGGUCCUGGCUUCAAUCCCCAGGACCUCCA